rnacentral:rRNA from 1 species
GACGAACGCUGGCGGCGUGCUUAACACAUGCAAGUCGAACGAAAAGAGGGAAAGAGCUUGCUCUUUCCGGAAUUGAGUGGCAAACGGGUGAGUAACACGUAAACAACCUGCCUUCAGGAUGGGGACAACAGACGGAAAUGACUGCUAAUACCGAAUAAGUUCCAAGGGCCGCAUGGCCCAUGGAAGAAAAGGUGGCCUCUACCUGUAAGCUAUCGCCUGAAGAGGGGUUUGCGUCUGAUUAGCUGGUUGGAGGGGUAACGGCCCACCAAGGCGACGAUCAGUAGCCGGUCUGAGAGGAUGAACGGCCACACUGGAAUUGAGACACGGUCCAGACUCCUACGGGAGGCAGCAGUGGGGAAUCUUCCGCAAUGGGCGAAAGCCUGACGGAGCAACGCCGCGUGAGUGAUGACGGCCUUCGGGUUGUAAAACUCUGUGAUCCGGGACGAAAAGGCAGAGUGCGAAGAACAAACUGCAUUGACGGUACCGGAAAAGCAAGCCACGGCUAACUACGUG